UGAGAGAGACAGUGCACAGAGGCAGACAGGCUCCCUUCUAGCAGGCUCAGGGGUGCAGCAAUUGUGCCACCAGGAUCUGCAAGAGCUAAACAGAUUUCCACAUUGAUUGAAGUCCAUUCUCAGGGCAGCAGGCUGUAAAAGGGGAACAUCUUUUGUAAUUUGUCCAGAGGGAGGUGACCUGUCUGUAAAAUCCCCUCCUCUGGCUGCUUACAGGCUCCUGUUGGAAAGAAGAAAGGAGAAAGGAAGAAGGGGGGGGGUCUCUUUUCUACUGUGCUGGUUGGAAUGGGAAACUGGAUCAGUUGUACAUCUCCAAAAUACACACCACCUCCUUAUUGAGCGGAAAGCACUUUCUAAAAAUUCACCAGCCCUUUGGAUGUAAUUCACAUCCCAGCAGAACAAUGAGGAACAGCUGCAAGGGCACAUUUUGGUAACUUUUUGCAGACUGCACAAUGUUCUCCACUGAAAGAAGAGACCUCUGUGAGACUGUCCCAUCCUGGGGAAGGUAACCCAGCUGCAACCUUACAGCAAAUCCUCUCUGGCAUCCCACAUUGCAACAAAAGGCAGGCUACAAGGAAAUCCAUUUUUUUAAUAAAGUAGCAAUAUCACAGUUUUCCUUUCUGCAAUCCAGGGGGGGAAUCUGAAUUUACUUCCAAUGCAGGAAAGGCGAAUCAUGUUCCCGGCUGUAUUGCUGCGGAUGUUGGGAUUGUUCCUUCUGUGUGAUAUACUGUGGAGGUGUUCAGCAACAGAUGGGACAAAACUGCAGUCAUACAUGCCGAACGUGUGUCCAGAAAGGGAACUGUCCGUGGUAGCCCACAAGCAGCCAGUGAUUGAGGCCUACAGUCAGAUGGUGAAAGUCUGGAAGCAAGGAUGCACGGGACAGCUGUGGUGUGUUGGCUAUGAGCGUAGAACGUUAUACUACACAACAUACCGUAAAGUGUACAGCCGAGAGUAUCAGACUGUAAAUAAGUGCUGCCCAGGGUGGUCCCAGCUGAACGGGGAGGCCGGCUGCC